GCCAGGGUGGCGAAAUGGCAGACGCAGCAGACUCAAAAUCUGCCGCCCGAAAGGGUGUGAGGGUUCGACUCCCUCUCCUGGCACCA
rnacentral:tRNA from 3 species